rnacentral:rRNA from 2 species
CGGCCGCGGUAUUUUGACCGUGCAAAGGUAGCGCAAUCACUUGUCUUUUAAAUAGAGACCUGUAUGAAUGGCCAAACGAGGGCUUAACUGUCUCCCCUUUCCAGUCAGUGAAAUUGAUCUACCCGUGCAGAAGCGGGUAUAAUAAUACAAGACGAGAAGACCCUUUGGAGCUUAAGGUACAAAACUCAACCACGUUAAGCAACUCAAUAAAAAGCAAAAACUUUGUGGAACAUGAGAUUUUACCUUCGGUUGGGGCGACCACGGAGGAAAAAAGAGCCUCCAGGUGGACCGGGAAAACUUCCUAAAACCAAGAGAUACAUCUCUAAGCCACAGAACAUCUGACCAAACAUGAUCCGGCUAAUACAAGCCGAUCAACGAACCAAGUUACCCUAGGGAUAACAGCGCAAUCCUCUCCCAGAGUCCAUAUCGACGAGGGGGUUUACGACCUCGAUGUUGGAUCAGGACAUCCUAAUGGUGCAGCCGCUAUUAAGGGUU